AUUGAACGCUGGCGGCAUGCCUUACACAUGCAAGUCGAACGGCAGCGGGGGAGAAGCUUGCUUUUCCUGCCGGCGAGUGGCGAACGGGUGAGUAAUACAUCGGAACGUGCCCUGUAGUGGGGGAUAACUAGUCGAAAGAUUAGCUAAUACCGCAUACGACCUGAGGGUGAAAGGGGGGGACCGCAAGGCCUCAUGCUAUAGGAGCGGCCGAUGUCGGAUUAGCUAGUUGGUGGGGUAAAGGCCUACCAAGGCGACGAUCAGUAGCUGGUCUGAGAGGACGAUCAGCCACACUGGGACUGAGACACGGCCCAGACUCCUACGGGAGGUAGCAGUGGGGAAUUUUGGACAAUGGGCGAAAGCCUGAUCCAGCAAUGCCGCGUGUGUGAAGAAGGCCUUCGGGUUGUAAAGCACUUUUGUCCGGAAAGAAAUGGCUCUGGUUAAUACCUGGGGUCGAUGACGGUACCGCAAGAAUAAGGACCGGCUAACUACGUGCCAGCAGCAGCCGCCG
rnacentral:rRNA from 1 species